rnacentral:rRNA from 1 species
ACUCAAAUGAAUUGACGGGGGCCCGCACAAGCAGCGGAGCAUGUGGUUUAAUUCGAAGCAACGCGAAGAACCUUACCUAGACUUGACAUCCCCUGCAUAACCCAGAGAUGGGCGAAGUCCUUCGGGACAGGGUGACAGGUGGUGCAUGGUUGUCGUCAGCUCGUGUCGUGAGAUGUUGGGUUAAGUCCCGCAACGAGCGCAACCCUUAUCAUUAGUUGCUACCAUUAAGUUGAGCACUCUAGUGAGACUGCCCGGGUUAACCGGGAGGAAGGUGGGGAUGACGUCAAAUCAUCAUGCCCCUUAUGUCUAGGGCUACACACGUGCUACAAUGGUGAGUACAAAGAGAUGCAAGACCGCAAGGUGGAGCCAAACUCAAAAACUCAUCCCAGUUCGGAUUGUAGGCUGCAACUCGCCUACAUGAAGCCGGAGUUGCUAGUAAUCGCGAAUCAGCAUGUCGCGGUGAAUACGUUCCCGGGCCUUGUACACACCGCCCGU